rnacentral:miRNA from 1 species
CUCAGCAAACGCUGAGGACUUCUCGCUGGGGCCUCCAAAUCUUACAGUGCCCACGAGUUAAAGUACGAGACAGCCAAACAGAAUUUAAAGAGCCUUUAUUAG